GGGGGGGAGGGGGGAGGGGGCGGGGUCAGGGGAGGGGGCGGAGUCUGUUAAAUAAGCGGGGGCGGGGCCAGGCGGCUGUCAAUCAAACGGGGCUGUCAAUCAAACGGGGCUGUCAAUCAAAUGGAGCUGUCAAUCAAGUGUCAACUGGAGCUGUCAAUCAAACGGGGCUGUCAAUCAAAUGGAGCUGUCAAUCAACCCGGGCUGUCAAUCAAACUGGAGAUGUCAAUCAACCGGAGCUGUCAAUCACGGCUGUCAAUCAGACGAGGCUGUCAAUCAACCCGGGCUGUCAAUCAAAGUGGAGCUGUCAAUCAAAUAGAGCUGUCAAUCAAACAGGGCUGUCAAUCAAUUCUAUCCUUCAAAUUGAGCUGUCAAUCAAAGCUAUUCAUCAAAUUGUGCUGUCAAUCAAAGGGAUAUCAAUCAAAUUGAGCUGUCAAUCAAAGAGCCAUCACUCCAAGGGGGCUGUCAAUCAAACCUAUCCAUCAAAUUGAGCUGUCAAUCAAAGGGAUAUCGAUCAAAUUGAGCUGUCAAUCAACAAACUAUCAAUCAAUUGGAGCUGUCAAUCAAUUCUAUCCAUCACAUCGAGCUGUCAAUCAAACACAAGGGAUCAAAUCGAGCUGUCAAUCAAAGACACUCACCGGCCCCUCCUCACCGGGGGGGGUCUCUGGCCGUGGGGGGGGGCUCCUCCUCCCCCGCCCCCCCCCCCCCCCUUUGCGCCUCCCCUGCAGCCGCUCCCGGCACCGCUCCAGCAGCCCCCGGCGCCCCCCCCCCCAAUUUGGG
rnacentral:lncRNA from 1 species